rnacentral:rRNA from 1 species
UAUGUGAUCGUCUCUCGCAUAUCAAUAAGCGGAGGAAAAGAAACUAACAAGGAUUCCCCUAGUAACGGCGAGUGAAGCGGGAAGAGCUCAAAUUUGAAAUCUUAAAGGGUUUCCCUUUACGAAUUGUAGUUUAAAGAAGUGUUUUCUGUUGAGGUUUUGGUAAAAGUUCUUUGGAAUAGGACAUCAUAGAGGGUGAGAAUCCCGUAUUUGACCUUUACUUUCAACUUUGUGAUACACUUUCAAAGAGUCGGAUUGUUUGGGAAUGCAGUCCAAAAUGGGUGGUAAAUUUCAUCUAAAGCUAAAUAUUGGCGAGAGACCGAUAGCGAACAAGUACCGUGAGGGAAAGAUGAAAAGAACUUUGAAAAGAGAGUUAAACAGUACGUGAAAUUGUCAAAAGGGAGGCGUUUGACACCAGUGUUGUUUUUCUGAAAAUCAAUUAAAGAACUGUUUAUGCUAAGUUGUUUAGACUUUAUCAGCUAACUGUUUAGUUUUGAGCUUUUCUUUAAUGCACUUUUCAGUUAACAAGUCAACAUCAAUUUCUUUUGCUGUAAAAAAGCUUGAGGAAGGUGGCUUGAGAUUCGUCUUAAGUGUUUAUAGCCUCUUGCCUAUGCAGUCGGAGAGAUUGAGGUCUGCAGCGUAGAUCCUUCGGGGCUAAAUGCAUUUGUGCUAAGUUAUAGCAUUUUAUAGACAACUUGUUGACUAUGAUUUGUCUUGUAGCUUACUCGCUUAUGUUAUUUUACCUACGCUUAGGAUGUUGAGUCAUCACACAUCUCU